rnacentral:ncRNA from 2 species
UCUUUGCAAUCGAAAUUUGGUUGCGUUCAGUACAUUCAAGAACGCAUUAAAAGGGAAUUAGGUUCAAAACCUAAGCUGUGCCCGCAACUGUAAGCUAUAAAGCUUGUUGUUAUCUACAAAACCACUGCUCGCCUUGGCGAGUGGGAAGGUCAACAACAAGACGCAAGCCAGGAGACCUGCCUUAUUUCAUAAUCAAUA